AACAAAAUCCCAGAAACACAGCAGCUUUAUCUGAUGAUGAUGAAGGUAAAAACAGGCUGCUUAUUUUUUAUUUAUCAGUUUAAAGCUCGGGACAGAGGACACACACGAGCAGCACCUUCUCUUCUGACUGACUGCAGACAGGACAUUUGGUCAACCAGCCAUGGGUGGCUCCUCUAAAAAAACCUUUAUCUGGCAAAAGAAGAAGAAGGAGUCGCCUCUGGACAAAGCCUGGAGUCAGCUGAGGGGGGCACUACCCAAUAAGAAACGCAAGAAGAAGAGUGUUCUGUCACUGAAUAAACUGAACCUGGAUAAACUGAAGAAGGAGAAGCAUUCCCAGAAGAGAUUCUCACUGUCAACAGACAAGAAAGAGCCGAUAUCGCUGAAAAGACUCUCUCUUGGUAACACAAGGAAAGAGUCAGUCCAGACUGCUUCACCGGGAAGGAAGGAGAAAGAUAGAGGAGGGCUGGAAAAAGUAGGAGAGCAGAUAAAGAGGAAGUUUUCUCAAGAUCCUAAGAAAGAGGAUGCCACUCCCUCUGUGAAACUGAAGGGCAGAAAGGAAGAAAAUGAAACAAGUGGACUGAAAAAUUUAGUUAAAGUGUCUAAAAAGAAAGUAUAAGAUUCAAAUCAAAUGGAAAAUUUAGAGACAAAGAACCCUGAAUUUGGCAGGAUGUGGGUAAACAGGCCACAAGAGAGUCAGAGAGAUAACAUGUAUUCAAAGUUUUUAAUGAGAUCACUAUCCAUUAUUGAGCGCAGACUGAAACUGAAACACAGCAAACAAACCACAGUGUUACCAUCACAAAGGUUAUUUCCUGUUAACUUCUUGGUAUCAGUUUUACUCAUUAACAUAAGUUACCUGCAAUUUACUUAUCCCUAAAGCUUCAUAACCACUCAUCUCACACGUGUGUUGCUCAUUCAGCCCUGUUUGGCAAAAAAGUUUAAUGUAGUGGAAAUUAUCCAAACCACAAGCUUGAUUUUCCUUCAUUUUUAAUAUUGUUUUUGGAGCUGCCUUUGAUGUCAAAUUAGCUUAAGCUGAAUACUGUACAUAAUAUUUACAAUUAUAAUGUGAUUAUAAAUAAAGUUUUACAUCACAAACAAUUUA